GACGAACGCUGGCGGCGUGCUUAACACAUGCAAGUCGAACGGAAAGGCCCUGCUUUUGUGGGGUGCUCGAGUGGCGAACGGGUGAGUAACACGUGAGUAACCUGCCCUUGACUUUGGGAUAACUUCAGGAAACUGGGGCUAAUACCGGAUAGGAGCUCCUGCUGCAUGGUGGGGGUUGGAAAGUUUCGGCGGUUGGGGAUGGACUCGCGGCUUAUCAGCUUGUUGGUGGGGUAGUGGCUUACCAAGGCUUUGACGGGUAGCCGGCCUGGGAGGGUGACCGGCCACAUUGGGAUUGAGGUACGGCCCAGACUCCUACAGGAGGCAACAGUGGGGAAUAUUGCACAAUGGGCGGAAGCCUGAUGCGGAGACGCCGCGUGCGGGAUGACGGCCUUCGGGUUGUAAACCGCUUUCGCCUGUGACGAAGCGUGAGUGACGGUAAUGGGUAAAGAAGCACCGGCUAACUACGUG
rnacentral:rRNA from 1 species